rnacentral:rRNA from 1 species
GGCAGCAUGGUCUUAGCUUGCUAAGGCCGAUGGCGACCGGCGCACGGGUGAGUAACACGUAUCCAACCUGCCGUCUACUCUUGGACAGCCUUCUGAAAGGAAGAUUAAUACAAGAUGGCAUCAUGAGUCCGCAUGUUCACAUGAUUAAAGGUAUUCCGGUAGACGAUGGGGAUGCGUUCCAUUAGAUAGUAGGCGGGGUAACGGCCCACCUAGUCUUCGAUGGAUAGGGGUUCUGAGAGGAAGGUCCCCCACAUUGGAACUGAGACACGGUCCAAACUCCUACGGGAGGCAGCAGUGAGGAAUAUUGGUCAAUGGGCGAGAGCCUGAACCAGCCAAGUAGCGUGAAGGAUGACUGCCCUAUGGGUUGUAAACUUCUUUUAUAAAGGAAUAAAGUCGGGUAUGGAUACCCGUUUGCAUGUACUUUAUGAAUAAGGAUCGGCUAACUCCGUGCCAGCAGCCGCGGUAAUACGGAGGAUCCGAGCGUUAUCCGGAUUUAUUGGGUUUAAAGGGAGCGUAGAUGGAUGUUUAAGUCAGUUGUGAAAGUUUGCGGCUCAACCGUAAAAUUGCAGUUGAUACUGGAUAUCUUGAGUGCAGUUGAGGCAGGCGGAAUUCGUGGUGUAGCGGUGAAAUGCUUAGAUAUCACGAAGAACUCCGAUUG